UACGGAGGAUGCAAGCGUUAUCCGGAAUUAUUGGGCGUAAAGGGUCCGCAGGUGGCAGUGUAAGUCUGCUGUCAAAGAAUGAGGCUUAACCUCAUCAAGGCAGUGGAAACUACACAGCUAGAGUACGGUCGGGGUAGAAGGAAUUCCUGGUGUAGCGGUGAAAUGCGUAGAGAUCAGGAAGAACACCGGUGGCGAAAGCGUUCUGCUAGACCUGUACUGACACUGAGGGACGAAAGCUAGGGGAGCGAAUGGG
rnacentral:rRNA from 1 species